UUUAACGUCAGGUGUGCGUCAUAGGUAUGCGGUUCUUGGCGUCUUCACGGUAAAAUGGUUGUUUAAAACAAGCUGUUCUUAAGUUUAUAUUUCAAAAAAAAUGCGGCAACUUUGUCACAAAUAACAUUCAGAACAAGGGAGGAAGACCUUCAAAUUCUGCAGUUACCUGCUCCUGCGCUUUUGUUCCAAAGUAGAUAACGUGGACAAGCGUAACGCAGCUGCUAAUUAGCCCCAAACAACAGGUGACUGUCCAGGAGCCUCUGUUUCCCGGCUUUGCAUACAGGUCUGAGGAGAAGGACGUAGCCUACAUGUGUGCCCCUGGUUGAUGAUGUCCUACAGGUUUUUGUCUCGGUGCAAAUUGGAUGGGAUCAAACCUGGCCCCCUGCUGUCACAGGCUGAACUUUGUCGGUGAAGUCCUUGGACUGAUAGGACCAGUGUAUACUCACCAAAGCAUCGAUGAGUUGAUAUUUCAGCUAUACAAUGGCCGGGUGGGUUUGUACAUCAGACCCCAGGAGUCUGACUUUUGCAACAGGAAGAAGAAGAGGAGGACAGUAUAAAUGAACACCAACAAGAGGAAAAACAAAAAAGCGGCUCCGGGGAGGGUGAAGCUGAAUGUUUAAGAGCAUCCUCCACUCGCUCCCUCCUCUUUGACUCAAACUCCAGCGCCUCCUGCAGCUUCCGCUUGGCCUUCUUCUCCUUCUUCAGACGCUUCUGGAUGGAGGCUAAGGAAUCAAGAAAAUGACAACUUCCACCUUAUGUAUGACAUUGCUUUUCAGUGUGCCAGUCUUGACUUUGUGUUGAAUAGGUAGCAAAACCUUGAAUAAAUGUUUUCACUUAUGGAUUAUUUACUGUAAUAAUGAGCAACAAAGGCCAUUUUUAAUGAAUUCUACAACACAAAGUGUGCAAAGCACAUGGUACCUUUUGGGUGAACCCAUUUUCUGCGCUACCACUUUGGUUUACAUUACUCCAUCUCCCAGAAUGCCUUUCCUCAUGUCAGUUCACAUGUAGAUGGAGAUAGUAAAUAAAUGGCAUGUGCAAAAAAUGUUUCUAUUUAGGUAAUCAGUUUCUUAAACAAGGAGUUAAUAAGGAGUGCAGCCAAGUUAGCUAAAGAAAGCCGUAUGUGCGUCUCAGUUUUACACAAAAUAAUUUGACUCUUAAUAAUAUGGGGCUUAUUAUUUCACAGAACUGGGUUAAAAUAUCUUUUUACAAGUCUUUUAAAUGGCCACCCUGUCCAAAAUUAUCUAGAUCUGCCCAAGUGACAAGAACAUAUUGCUGAGCAUUAAAAUCAAUAAAAGACAGCUCCAAGAUUCUCAGAAUAAUGAGACAGGCAGCACAGUUGUAUUUAAUGCUUUUAGGCUAUUUUUUUUUUUAUCCUAGCUGUCCUAGAGCAUUGUUGUCUUCUUAUUGUCAUUCUGGGCAGCAAUUUGCAAAGUACUGUCACAGGUAGUUGUGUUCUCAAUGUCAUGGGUCCCCUACCUCCCGACCACUGGGGGAGGUAUUGAGCAGAUUGCUGCACCAGAAUAAAGGGAACACAGUAAGGAGCCAGGGCUAGCUUCUUUUAUAACGCACACUAGGUGAAGAAAAAAAGGUUGCUGAAAAUGCCAAUACCAAAAAUGACCGAACUUAUCCUUUAAAACAUCAUCUACCAUAAAUUUG